rnacentral:misc_RNA from 1 species
AACGCACAUUGCGCCCAUUAGUAUUCUAGUGGGCAUGCCUGUUCGAGCGUCAUUUCAACCCUUAAGCCUAGCUUAGUGUUGGGAAUCUACUGUAUUGUAGUUCCUGAAAUAUAACGGCGGAUCUGUAAUAUCCUCUGAGCGUAGUAAUUUUUUUCUCGCUUUGGUAGGUGUUGCAGCUCUCAGCCGCUAAACCCCCCAAUUUUAAUGGUUGACCUCGGAUCAGGUAGGAAUACCCGCUGAACUUAA